ACAUGCCUACAACAUAGCAUUAAUGCACUAGAUCCCAUUAGAACUUCAUAGUUAAGCGCACUCAGGAUAGAGUAGAACUGGGAUGGGUGACCGCCUGAGAAGUCAUAGUGUUUUACAUGCC
rnacentral:rRNA from 1 species